AUGGCCUUCGGUGCUCCCCAGCGGAGCCCAGCCUGUGCUGCGAGCCCUGUGCUGGCAGGAGGCCAGGCUCCAGCUGCCGCUGCCAGGACUGGAGCCCGGCGGAGGCACAGCAGGCGCUGGUCACACAUGUCCCCCAGGGGUGCUCUCCGGAGGGUGCUGUGCCACCUCAGGGGCGCAGAGGGAAAACGGCACCCUGCUCCCCUGGCUCAGAGCUCCGACGCAGCAGCAACCGCCGUGCACGGGGCACCAGUCCCAACCGGAGCCGCGCUGCAGACCCUGCUCAGCUUCCUCUGUGGCUUGGAGGGGAAAAAUGCACAGCGGGGAGCGGGGGAAGGAGCUCCUGCUGAGCAACCCCGAGGCACACCCUGGACCCCGCAUGCGGGGCACAGGGGGCUUUGGAGGGGUCCCGUACCUGUUGCUACAGCAGUUUGGAUGCUCACAGCCCGGCAGGGACCUUGGCGCCCCAGGGGCGCUGGCGCAGGACGACCAGGUGGCCACGGGCCAGCGCCGGUCGCAAGGCAAGGCGAAACCCGCUCACCUGCUGCGCUGCCGAUCGGGGCCGAGCCGGGAUGUCCCCAGGUCGGGUCAGCGGGAGCCGGCACCAAGCUCUGCCCCUGCCCUGCUGCCCCUUCACCCUGCGCAAGGGAGGGCAGAGCUCCCAGGUCAGCGCGGGCGCAGGGUGACCCCGGAGAAAUAAGACCAGCAGAGACACCCUGCUCCCAGCCUCCUGCCCCCACGCAGCCAGCCCUGGGCUCGCUGUCCCCUCUUUCCAGGGACAGGGGGGAACAGCACAGCCAGCCCCUCUCCUCCCCCAGCUGCAUGCAGAGCAAGGGGGGGAAAAUCGACCCCUUUUGCUGCUCUUUGCAGUUCUCCCAGCACUUCCCACGGCAGUGCGGGAUGGAGUUCCCGGGGCUGGGGUUGCCACAGCGGGGCAGCGAGCCAAGCGGGGGAAAUACCUGCUCCCGGUGGACGUCUGGGUCCCGCAGCUGGGACGCCGGCAGGCCAGGUGAGCGCUGGGGCCGCGCUCUCCGCUGGGCGUCCUUGAGCGGCGGAGCCCCGCUGCGCUCCUCCGCUGCCUGCUCACACCCUGCUGCUGGGUGUGUUUGUGGCCCGGCAGGGCUGCUGAUGCCGCCUGCAGGUCUGCACAGGCCGGCAGAGGCGGGCUGCCCGCGGCGGGGCGCAGCGGGGGGUCAGGGCGCGCCCCGGGACGGCCGCCGCGCUCGGCUCAGCCCGGCACUCGGGGAGGCUGGGCGCAGCCUCCGCUUUGCGGCAGCUCCGAAAGCGGAGAAGGGAUCCAUGGUGUGUGGGGGGGUGUCACGAGCCACAGUGCAGGAGUUUGCAGGCAGCCCAUGCUCCAAGGGGAUUAAGGCUCCGGGAGCGGGGAAGGCAGAUGGAGGCAGAUGGAGGCAGGCUUCUUGCACUGCUGGGCCUGAAGGCAAGAGGCUGUGCGGAGCCCCUCUGCCAAAGAGCUUUCCCUUCCUCACGGAGAGCGCCUAG
rnacentral:lncRNA from 1 species